rnacentral:tRNA from 3 species
GGGGGCGUAGCUCAGUUGGCUAGAGCGCGUGAAUGGCAUUCACGAGGUCGUGGGUUCGAUUCCCGUCGCCUCCA